rnacentral:snRNA from 1 species
CCAUGUGCAGUCAUGCUGGUUGUGACAUCUGUCAUCCUAUUGAUUAUCAGCUGAUCAGGCUGGCAGAGGGGCUGUUCCCUUCUUCCUUAGCUACUGCAUGACCAUCCCUUCAGAAGCUGGAAUUUGGUUGGAGAGGAUGAUCUUCCUGCAUAGAGAAGGACCUUUCUUUGGUCCACAGUCUUUGGGUAGUUGUUCUACCUUGCUAGAACCUCCAAAUGAGUCUCAAAGUCCGUUUGUGGCAUAAUGUAGGUGGUCAAGCUUCCAAGCCCCCAGAAGCACCCCUAAAGAAUAACUGUAACUGUUAG